GAAGGUUUUCGGAUCGUAAAACUCUUUGUUAGAGAAGAACAAGGAUGAGAGUAGAACGUUCAUCCCUUGACGUUUCUAACCAGAAGCCACGGCUAACUACGUGCCAGCAGCCGCGGUAAUACGUAGGUGGCAAGCGUUGUCCGGAUUUAUUGGGCGUAAAGCGAGCGCAGGCGGUUUCUUAAGUCUGAUGUGAAAGCCCCCGGCUCAACCGGGGAGGGUCAUUGGAAACUGGGAGACUUGAGUGCAGAAGAGGAGAGUGGAAUUCCAUGUGUAGCGGUGAAAUGCGUAGAUAUAUGGAGGAACACCAGUGGCGAAGGCGGCUCUCUGGUCUGUAACUGACGCUGAGGCUCGAAAGCGUGGGGAGCGAACAGGAUUAGAUACCCUGGUAGUCCACGCCGUAAACGAUGAGUGCUAAGUGUUGGAGGGUUUCCGCCCUUCAGUGCUGCAGCAAACGCAUUAAGCACUCCGCCUGGGGAGUACGACCGCAAGGUUGAAACUCAAAGGAAUUGACGGGGGCCCGCACAAGCGGUGGAGCAUGUGGUUUAAUUCGAAGCAACGCGAAGAACCUUACCAGGUCUUGACAUCCUUUGACCACUCUAGAGAUAGAGCUUCCCCUUCGGGGGCAAAGUGACAGGUGGUGCAUGGUUGUCGUCAGCUCGUGUCGUGAGAUGUUGGGUUAAGUCCCGCAACGAGCGCAACCCUUAUUGUUAGUUGCCAUCAUUUAGUUGGGCACUCUAGCGAGACUGCCGGUGACAAACCGGAGGAAGGUGGGGAUGACGUCAAAUCAUCAUGCCCCUUAUGACCUGGGCUACACACGUGCUACAAUGGGAAGUACAACGAGUUGCGAAGUCGCGAGGCUAAGCUAAUCUCUUAAAGCUUCUCUCAGUUCGGAUU
rnacentral:rRNA from 1 species